rnacentral:rRNA from 1 species
UACGGAGGGGGCUAGCGUUGUUCGGAAUUACUGGGCGUAAAGCGCACGUAGGUGGCACAUCAAGUCAGGGGUGAAAGGCCUGGGCUCAACCUAGGAACGGCCUUUGAGACUGAUGAGCUAGAGUCCGGGAGAGGGCAGUGGAAUUCCCAGUGUAGAGGUGAAAUUCGUAGAUAUUGGGAAGAACACCAGUGGCGAAGGCGGCUGCCUGGCCCGGCACUGACACUGAGGUGCGAAAGCGUGGGGAGCAAACAGG